rnacentral:rRNA from 1 species
AUUGAACGCUGGCGGCAUGCUUUACACAUGCAAGUCGAACGGCAGCACGGGUGCUUGCACCUGGUGGCGAGUGGCGGACGGGUGAGUAAUACAUCGGAACGUAUCCAGAAGAGGGGGAUAACGCAUCGAAAGAUGUGCUAAUACCGCAUAUUCUCUGAGGAGGAAAGCAGGGGCUCGCAAGACCUUGCGCUUUUGGAGCGGCCGAUGUCUGAUUAGCUAGUUGGUGGGGUAAAGGCCUACCAAGGCGACGAUCAGUAGUUGGUCUGAGAGGACGACCAGCCACACUGGGACUGAGACACGGCCCAGACUCCUACGGGAGGCAGCAGUGGGGAAUUUUGGACAAUGGGCGCAAGCCUGAUCCAGCCAUCCCGCGUGCAGGAUGACAGCCCUACGGGUUGUAAACUGCUUUUGUUAGGGAAGAAACCCUCGAUUUAUCGGGGGCUGACGGUACCUUUCGAAUAAGCACCGGCUAACUCCGUGCCAGCAG